CCUACGGGAGGCAGCAGUGGGGAAUAUUGGACAAUGGGCGAAAGCCUGAUCCAGCCAUGCCGCGUGUGUGAAGAAGGCCUUCGGGUUGUAAAGCACUUUCAGUGGGGAAGAAAGCCUUGGGGCUAAUACCCGCGAGGAAGGACAUCACCGACAGAAGAAGCACCGGCUAACUCCGUGCCAGCAGCCGCGGUAAUACGGAGGGUGCGAGCGUUAAUCGGAAUUACUGGGCGUAAAGCGCGCGUAGGCGGUCUGAUAAGCCGGUUGUGAAAGCCCCGGGCUCAACCUGGGAACGGCAUCCGGAACUGUCAGGCUAGAGUACAGGAGAGGCAGGUAGAAUUCCCGGUGUAGCGGUGAAAUGCGUAGAGAUCGGGAGGAAUACCAGUGGCGAAGGCGGCCUUCUGGACUGACACUGACGCUGAGGUGCGAAAGCGUGGGUAGCAAACAGGAUUAGAUACCCCAGUAGUC
rnacentral:rRNA from 1 species